rnacentral:miRNA from 1 species
UAACUGGAAAUUCUUAAAGCAU